CUUCCUUUACCAGUCCAAAUGCUAUACCGGUUAAACUCCGCCAUUUUGCCUCUUAGUGCUCAUGCUUGAGCCCGCUUGCCCAACUCCUGAGAUGUCAUCGGGAAGCUGCUGAUCAGCAAUUACAGAGAUGCUCUUCUCACCUCUCAUUCGGAAUCUACUCUCAAUUAUAUAUAAGACGAACACAGCAAGCAGUCACCGUCUAUGAACUAGAAAGCUGAUUCACCAGACACCGAAUCUGCCAGCACCUUGGUCUUGGACUUCCCAGCCUCCAGAACUAGGAAAUGUUCCAACACAUCUGAGGAAACACAUGCCUUCCCAGACUGGCCUGUUGCUGUUUCCCAGGAGCUGCAUUCUGGAAGGUGGACCAUCAGGUGGAAGAAGUAUUCUUCAGAGAGCUGCCUUCCCAAGGGAAUGGUGACAGCUUGCGCUUGCCGGGGAGUCCUGCUGCCUUCCGAGGUGUGAAGGGAAGGCAUGCACUGUGCAUAUGCUGUACCAUACAGUUUUGCCUACAACUGCUUGUAGCUUCAUUGUAGCUGUGAAUGCUCCGUUCCUCUCCUUUUCACCCCUGAAGAUUCGCGAACAUGCAGGAUUGAGCUGUGCGAGGCAUAGCAUUCCCCACAUGGUAGACGAAGGCGGAUGUGGGUCUGAUGGCUCUACUGCCGUCCACCCGGGAGGAUGGACGUGUGUUCCGGGAUAUCAGAGCUUGCGGCUGACCAGCCCACAUGUCCAUGCAGCCCUCCCGCUGGCUGUGUCGACAUUUUGGGUGUCACUGAAGGAUUUUACUGGUGCAGACUUUACAAAGGCAAAAUUGUUUCUCAAGGAAGUGGACAUGAAAGAUCUAAAAUCAGGGCUGCUUAAAAAAAGCAAGCACAGAUUAAUGACCUAUCUACAUCCUACACGGUUUUAGGACUGCGCCUAGAUGGGCUUAAAGACCCUAGCCUAAAAACUGUAAAUGUGCUUCCGUCUUUGCCCUGUAGGACAAGAAAGCCUUACGGGCUUGCUUCUAACUGUGAGAGGAGGAGAGGCCAGGAAGGGAGAGGGAGAAAAGGAGGAGAACAGGAGACGAGAAGGAGGGGAGAGUGAGGAGAGGAGGAGAGAGGCUUGUCAAAAUCUUUUUAGUGCACAAAACUAAUUUUGUUCAUCUUGGAUUUGGUGAGCUGGGUAAUAUUCUGUGCACGGCUCCUAAAUGAAUUAUUAAAUGUCAACUCAAGAUGGCUUAACUAAAAUACUCAAUUUAAUAACCAAAAGUAUCUAAGGUAACAACAACAAUUUUGCAGGUGAUUGUAGAGUUGUCAAGUCAAACCAUUAUAGACAAGCAUUUGGGGUUUUCACAUAAUCUCCUUCCACAUCUCAUCUUCUGUCACUAAAUACCCACUCUGGUGAGCAUAUUCCAUUUCAAUAAAGAUCAUCGCUUCGGUGCCAGCUUCUUUUUAUUCAGAUCGAGCCAGAAAACCUUUUUUUUUUUUCUAAAAUAUAAAGCAAAACAAGAUCUCAGUCACAACCACCAAAUCUUUAUUAAUGCAUUCCUUGUGCUACUUCUGAAUAUUAAUAAAAAUUAAUAAUUAAUUUUGCCUUUGGCAUUGCAAGAUAUACUAGUUUUAAUUAGUGUACUGUACUCCUAUACAAUUAAAAAAUAAUUGAUGUCCAUGCUUA
ensembl:lncRNA LINC03103 long intergenic non-protein coding RNA 3103